UUGAUAUAUAUUUUGAGAAGAACUGUUACAACAAGGUCCUGUUUUCGACUAGUCCAUUUUGUACCAAAACACACUGGAAACAAACAGUUUUUCUCUUGGAGAAACCAAUUCCUGUAGAAACAGGAGAGGCCUUGAGAGGAAAGAUAACUGUCUGCAAGAACAGAAAGGAUCCACGGUCCCUCUUUAUAACCCUCUCACUGAAGGGCACAAAACAGACCUACAGUCUUCAGUGAAAAUACUGUGCAUGUAACUUUGAGAAACGGCAGGUGUAAAGGUUUCAAGUAAUGGUUGAUAUACUUUUCUAGAUAUACAAAGAU